CUGCUUCAACAGCAAAUAUACUAAAAUUGGAAUGAAACAGAGAAGAUUAGCAUGGCCCCCGGGCAAGAAUGACAUGCAAAUUCAUGAAGUAUGUCAUAUUUUU
rnacentral:snRNA from 1 species